GCGUGCGUGUAUGCGUGCGUCUGUCAACAAUUUGUUUGUGUAGACAGUAGAGGUCACUGUUUUCAUCCAAUCUUUAUGAAAUUUGGUCAGAAUGUUUAUCUUGAUGAAAUCUGGGUUGGGAUUGUAUUUGGGUCAUCUGGGGUCAAAAACUAGGUCACUAGGUCAAAAACUAGAGCAAAUAAUAGAAAACCCUUGUGUAGACAAUAGAGGUCGCAGUUUUCAUCCAAUCUUUAUGAAAUGUGGUCAGAUUGUUUAUCUUGAUGAAAUCUGGCUUGGGACUGUAUUUGAGUCAUCUGAGGUCAAAAACUAGGUCACUAGGUCAAAUAAUAGAAAAACCGUAAACAAUUGGUUUGUGUAGACAGUAGAGGUCACAGUUUUCAUCCAAUCUUUGUGAAAUUUGGUCAGAAUGUUUAUCUUGAUAAAAACUGGGUUGGGAUUGUAUUUGGG